GAUGAACGCUGGCGGCGUGCCUAAUACAUGCAAGUCGAGCGAACAGACGAGGAGCUUGCUCCUCUGACGUUAGCGGCGGACGGGUGAGUAACACGUGGAUAACCUACCUAUAAGACUGGGAUAACUUCGGGAAACCGGAGCUAAUACCGGAUAAUAUAUUGAACCGCAUGGUUCAAUAGUGAAAGACGGUUUUGCUGUCACUUAUAGAUGGAUCCGCGCCGCAUUAGCUAGUUGGUAAUGUAACGGCUUACCAAGGCGACGCUGCGUAGCCGACCUGAGAGGGUGAUCGGUCACACUGGCACUGAGACACGCUCCAGACCCCUACGGGAGGCAGCAGUAGCGAAUCUUCCGCAAUGGGCGGAAGCCUGACGGAGCAACGCCGCGUGAGUGAUGAAGGUCUUCGGAUCGUAAAACUCUGUUAUUAGGGAAGAACAAAUGUGUAAGUAACUAUGCACGUCUUGACGGUACCUAAUCAGAAAGCCACGGCUAACUACGUG
rnacentral:rRNA from 1 species